GAUGAACGCUAGCGGCAGGCCUAAUACAUGCAAGUCGGACGGGAUUCAGGAGCUUGCUUCUGAUGAGAGUGGCGCACGGGUGCGUAACACGUAUGUAACCUACCUUUAUCAGGGGGAUAGCCUCUCGAAAGAGAGAUUAAGCCCGCAUAAAAUCACAGCACAGCAUUGUGUAAUGAUCAAAUAUUUAUAGGAUAAAGAUGGGCAUGCGGAACAUUAGCUAGAUGGCGGGGUAACGGCCCACCAUGGCGACGAUGUUUAGGGGAUCUGAGAGGAUGGCCCCCCACACUGGUACUGAGACACGGACCAGACUACUACGGGAGGCAGCAGUAAGGAAUAUUGGUCAAUGGGCGGAAGCCUGAACCAGCCAUGCCGCGUGCAGGAAGGCGGCCCUACGGGUUGUAAACUGCUUUUAUACGGGAAUAAACCCAGAUACGUGUAUCUGGCUGAAUGUACUGUAAGAAUAAGGAUCGGCUAACUCCG
rnacentral:rRNA from 1 species